rnacentral:rRNA from 2 species
AUGGACGCAAGUCUGAUGGAGCAACGCCGCGUGAGUGAAGAAGGCUUUCGGGUCGUAAAACUCUGUUGUUGGAGAAGAAUGGUCGGCAGAGUAACUGUUGUCGGCGUGACGGUAUCCAACCAGAAAGCCACGGCUAACUACGUGCCAGCAGCCGCGGUAAUACGUAGGUGGCAAGCGUUAUCCGGAUUUAUUGGGCGUGAAGCGAGCGCAGGCGGUUUUUUAAGUCUGAUGUGAAAGCCCUCGGCUUAACCGAGGAAGCGCAUCGGAAACUGGGAAACUUGAGUGCAGAAGAGGACAGUGGAACUCCAUGUGUAGCGGUGAAAUGCGUAGAUAUAUGGAAGAACACCAGUGGCGAAGGCGGCUGUCUGGUCUGUAACUGACGCUGAGGCUCGAAAGCAUGGGUAGCGAACAGGAUUAGAUACCCUGGUAGUCCAUGCCGUAAACGAUGAAUGCUAGGUGUUGGAGGGUUUCCGCCCUUCAGUGCCGCAGCUAACGCAUUAAGCAUUCCGCCUGGGGAGUACGACCGCAAGGUUGAAACUCAAAGGAAUUGACGGGGGCCCGCACAAGCGGUGGAGCAUGUGGUUUAAUUCGAAGCAACGCGAAGAACCUUACCAGGUCUUGACAUCUUUUGAUCACCUGAGAGAUCAGGUUUCCCCUUCGGGGGCAAAAUGACAGGUGGUGCAUGGUUGUCGUCAGCUCGUGUCGUGAGAUG